rnacentral:tRNA from 1 species
GGAGGGAUGGCUGAGUGGCUAAAAGCGCACGACUCGAAAUCGUGUUUCCAUUUUAUCGUGGAUCGGGGGUUCAAAUCCCUCUCCCUCCG